rnacentral:rRNA from 1 species
GACGAACGCUGGCGGCGUGCUUAACACAUGCAAGUCGAACGGAAAGGCCCUGCUUUUGUGGGGUGCUCGAGUGGCGAACGGGUGAGUAACACGUGAGUAACCUGCCCUUGACUUUGGGAUAACUUCAGGAAACUGGGGCUAAUACCGGAUAGGAGCUCCUGCUGCAUGGUGGGGGUUGGAAAGUUUCGGCGGUUGGGGAUGGACUCGCGGCUUAUCAGCUUGUUGGUGGGGUAGUGGCUUACCAAGGCUUUGACGGGUAGCCGGCCUGAGAGGGUGACCGGCCACAUUGGGACUGAGAUACGGCCCAGACUCCUACGGGAGGAAGAAGUGGGGAAUAUUGCACAAUGGCGGAAGCCUGAUGCAGCAACGCCGCGUGCGGGAUGACGGCCUUCGGGUUGUAAACCGCUUUCGCCUGUGACGAAGCGUGAGUGACGGUAAUGGGUAAAGAAGCACCGGCUAACUACGUG